CUCCCCCUGCGCGCUCUCACCCGGCCCCUGGGUCCUACUGCCCCCCAAUGGGGGGGGGGGCGCUGGGAACCCCCAGCAGAGAGGCCGGGCACCUGACCGAACGACCUGCGCUGCGCGUGGACACUGCGGAGACUCCGGACUUUUCCGGUUCUGGAGGCCACAGUUCCUUCUUUGGCUGUGAAAUGUGGUGCUGUCAUUCGUUGCUUCCUUCCCAUCUGUGCUACAGAUACAGCUGAGAAAAGGACAAAGUCCCUGCCCUCAAGGAUGUACACGAUGAGAAGGAAACAUGCAGGGUGCGACUUCUUCUUGCCACCCUACUCCCUGCCAGUUGACAAACACAGGCACAGAGCUCCUGACCCCAGCCGGGGGCUCCGUCCAUUGUACCAGCUCUUCCGUGGCUCCCACUGGUCCCUGGAGAAAGUCCAAGCCCCUUCUUUGCCCUCGUCACCUUGCAUCAGGAGUGCCAGUUUGCAAAGACAGGUGACACCAGCAGCUGUAAUGGUAGUGAUGCCCACCUCACCCACAGGGCUGACCGCCCUGUCUUCCCAUCUCUGACACUCGGAAAAGGGACCCCUGAAUCCUGACCACCCAACCACACCCCAGCCCUCAUCUACUUCAGCCCAGUGCAGCCUCCUCUGUGUUAUGAAUACAGGAAGCCCUGGCUUGGAUCCUAUCCCAGCUCUGCUACGUUUUAGCCUUGUGCCCGUGAUCUAGAGCCCCCUCUGUAAACUGGCAAUGAUAAUCUCGAAGAUAAUGAGAAGCACAGAUGAAACAAGGACGUGGCGAGCACUCUGAGAACUCCGAAUGACAUUGGGCUCUCCACUCCACACUCUGCUUGCCUCUUCUCGGCCUGGUCCAGUCCUUCCAGGCCACUCCUGCUGUGUCCUCUGAGGGCCAUCCUGUUGGUUUCACUCACACCUGGCCUUGCACACACACAAGAGGAUAGCAAAGCGUUGUGAGUGGCAUGGCGGCUUGCCCGGGGAGGCCCAGGCAGAGGACGGCAGCCCGUAGAGGGGCAGGAGCCCAACCUGGGAGUUGUUAGGAAGUCUGGGUGCUACCUCUCAUUGAGUGAUCUUGGAAAGUCACCUCUCUGUGCCUCACUUUCCUCAUCUGUAACAUGGGGAUAUGAGUAGGAUCUAGAAGGCUCUGAGGGAUUUCAUUUUAAACAGGAAGAAGUGUUCUUGCAGGAGGAGAAAUUGGCACACCCUUUCUAAAUUGUUUUAAUAUUUAUUAAUUUUUGAGAGAGAGAGAGAGAGGCACACCCUUUCUAGAAGGCAGUUUGCAUUGAGAGCUUUAAAGACCUGUUACUAAUUCCCUGCAACAUUGUUUGUAAUAGCAAAAAUUGGAAACAACCUAUCUAUUGGUAGGGAGUAGGAAUACCAAGAAGCUGGAAAAAACAAAAAGUAGGAAGUUCUUUAGGUCCUGAUACUGAUAUGGAAGGGCAAAGUGACGGAUAAUGUGACGGUCCACUGCUGUUAGAUGCACACACAGACCAUCCCUGCAGUUCUAGAUGUCAGAAGACUAAAAUGCGUCCACGGGGCUGUGUAUCUUCUGGGACCUCUAGGCGCAAAUCUGUUUCCUUGCCCUUUGGAGCUUCUGGAAGCCGCCUGCAUGGCUUGACCUGUGGCCCCUUCCUCCAUCUUCAAAGUUGCGUGAAGAAAGCAUGAGUUGGGCAGCCAUUGAGCUCAGAAUGAGAGGCAGGUGGAACAGACCUGAGCCUGAAAGCCUGAAGCAGAGCGUUUCCUGCCACGCCAGCCGACCUGCAGACUGUGAGCAAGACAGAGAGAUACUGUUUAUAAGCCGUCAAGAUUUUUAGUUGUUUGUUACGCAGCAUCAUUAUGGCAGUAGCUGACCAGUGCACCAAGGUAAGAGAAAUCAUCACGAAAAGUCACAUUAGAAGUCACAAUGUGUGAAUCCUCUCGUCGCUAUCCAUGCAGAAUUGCUCAGUAAAACAAAAGUUCAAAAUAUUACAAACAAACAUCAUUGAGACUGAAAAGGCCUGUUUGUGUAUUGAUCAAUAUGGGAGAAGCUGGGAAGAUUGUCUGCCAAGCACCUUUUUUUCCCCCCAAGAAUUGCCUCUGCCCCACCAUCCAUGUUUGCAAACACGGAUACCACAUUCCUUUGCUCUCAACCUCCAUGAUGAAGACUGAGGACCAUGGUCAUUCUAGGCCGAAUGCCUUCUUUCCAAGAAUUUUGCAACUAGGACAGAGAUAGAAAACUCGGUUUCUCUUUGGGUGGGUGGACCAUAAUAUUCAUUUGGGACCUGUUGGAUGGCCCUGUUUUUUGCCUCAUCCAGAGGCGUGACCCUACCCUUGCCCUUAGAAGUUGGGGGACUCCCCCAUAUCCUUUCACUGAAUUCCCCUUUAUGCUGAAACUUGUUCUGUUACAGAAACUGAAUAAGAAGAGAAGUCUGUGGGUUCUGGCAUGGGCUGGGUGCUCAGCAAAGUUUCCUUGAAUUGAGUUAUUAUAGGAAGCCACAGUUAGUAUCACCUUUCCUGGGGUGUUGGCUGGUUGGGGUAUUUCCAAUUUUCUACCCUGAAGAAGGGCACCCAUGAUUGCCUCUUAGGUGCAUGAUGCUCGAGACAGGACCUCAACUGAGUGACUCUCCUGUUUCUUCCCCCAUCCCUGCUGCUCCUGGAGAUAAAAGAUGCCCUUCCGUUCUCCGCACAAGAGAAAGGCAUGGUGAAAAAGAACACCAGAUUAUCUUUACCCCGGAUUUACCCCUUCCUAGCUGUGUGACUGUGGGCGUGCUACUUAACCUCCAUGUUGGUUUUCUCACGUCGAUAAGUGACAACCAUAACAGUCUACCCUCUAGGGCUGUGAUGAGGCUUAAGAGCAAAAUGCUUGUCAACAAGCAAAAACAACCUGAUUCAAAAACAAGCAAAGAACUGGAGUAGACAUUUCUUCAAAGAAGAUAAACAGAUGACCAAUAAGCACAUGAAAAGAUGCUUAACAUCACUAACCAUUAGAGAA